AUGGCUUGCCCUGCUCAGCUCCUGGGGCUGAUCAUGCUCUGGAUCCCUGGAUCCAUUGGUGAUGUCGUGAUGACCCAGACUCCACUGUCCCUGUCUGUCACACCAGGAGAGCCCGCCUCCAUCUCCUGCAGGUCGAGUCAGAGUCUCCUAUAUAGUGAUGGAUACACAUAUCUACAUUGGUACCUGCAAAGACCAGGCCAGUCUCCAAGGCUCCUGAUAUAUACAGUUUCCAAUCGCUUCUCUGGUGUCCCAGACCGAUUCAGUGGCAGUGGGUCUGGGACAGAUUUCACACUCAAAAUCAGCAGAGUAGAGCCUGAGGACGUAGGAGUUUAUUACUGCUCUCAAGAUACACAUGACCCUCCCACAGUGGUAUAUAGUAAUCCUGGUUGUGGGCUGUUUAUUGAUGAACAGGGAGUCUUGGACAAUAUUGUGUCCAUAGAAUUCAGCCUCCUGCUCAGUGUACUGAUGGAAGAAAUUCCCCAUCACUUCUCACCAGCAGAAUAUAAGGAAAUGUCAAAAUCUGGCAAUGUGUUACAUCUAUUUGACAAAGAUGGUGCAGCAGUGAUAAAGGUUGAUGAAGUUGAAAACUCUGUUGCUUGGUCUCUGCUGCUGCUGCCACCUGGUGUAAGUGCAGGGCAGCUGCGUUGA